AGUAGUAGUAGAAAAUAAAGAGGAGAAGAAGGAGAAGAAAGAGGAAGAAGAAAAAGAAGGAGAGGAAGAAGAGGAGGAAGAGUAGGAAGAAAAAGAAGGAGAAAAAGGAGGAAGAAGAGAAUGGAAAUGGAGAAGAAGAUGAGGAAAACGAUGGAGGAGGAGGAGGAAGAGAAGAAGAGAAAGAAAACGAAGAAGAGGAAUAGGAAGAGAGAUAGAAAACGGAGGAGAGAAGGAGGAAGAAGAAAGAAAACGGAGAGGAGGAGGAAGAAGAGGAAGAAAAGGACGAAAAAAAAAACAAGAAAGCAAAAGAAAAAUAAGAAAAACAAUGCAUAGUAAAAGGAAGAACAAAGAAAUACAAAAAACAAACGAAAAAAAGGAAACAGAAAGCAAUGAAAGGAGAAAUAAAGAACACAAGAAGAAGAGGAAGAAGAAGAAGAAGAAGAAGAAGAAGAAACAGCUGAAGGCAAGAUGGCGGACGAGGAGGAGGAGGCAGAACAAGAUAUGGUGUGCUGGGAGAUACCUGGCUGCUGUUACCUGUUAAUUAGGAGGCAGGUGGCAAGGAGAGAGAGAAUACCUGUCUCUUAUCUACAGUGAUGUUGUGUGUGUUUGUGUGUCAGGGUGAAUUGCCUUCUUCUCUGCAAGCUGUAGGACCAGAGAGUGUCACAUGAGGCUGUAGUCCAUUUCCUCAAGCUGAUCCCCGACCCCUAGAAGAGUUAGUAAGGACGCUGCUGGUUGGCUGUCGAUGGGCGGGGCAACUAACAUCUCUGCUGCUUAAUACAAUCACCUUGGCCCGUCCGUUGGGUCGUCGAGGUGUCCAUCCAUCUCUUCACUGCAAAAUAGGGUGGUUGUUAGCAUAUAGAUGUGGAAGCUGAAGCUGCUGUAAUUUUAUCUUUGUAAUAUAAAUAAAGAAUUUUUCUGAAGCUUGUUUUUUCUGCCUGCCACAGAAGUUAACGGCCCUUUAUUAACAAAAAUCAAAAGUAUUAAAGAGGUUUGAGAAAAUAAAGGUUUUAACAUUUGCAAUUAGCUGCUCUGGA